CCUCCACGCGCGAAAGAGUUUUGAGAGGACCUGUCUCUAGUACGAGAGGACCGAGAUGGACGAACCUCUAGUGUGCCAGUUGUUCUGCCAAGAGCAUGGCUGGUUGGCUACGUUCGGACGAGAUAACCGCUGAAAGCAUCUAAGCGGGAAGCUCACCUCAAGAUAAGAACUCUCACAGGGUUAACCUGGUAAGACCCCCAGAAGAUGACUGGGUUGAUAGGUCGGAUGUGGAAGCACAGCAAUGUGUGGAGCUGACCGAUACUAAUAGGUCGAGGGCUUGUUUUCACAAUCU
rnacentral:rRNA from 1 species